rnacentral:lncRNA from 1 species
UCCAGGCUGAAGCGAUCCUCCCACCUCAACCUCCCACGUGGCUGAGACUACAGGUGCUUGCCACUAUGCCCAACUAACAUUUGGAAUUUUCGUAUACGUGGAUUCUAGAGGGGUGACAGCGAAACGUGAGUGACCUCACAGUGACUCAAGCUACCACUUACUGUUGAUUGUGACGAAAUGCCAGCUGAGGCACAUGCCUUGGGAGCUAAGUGGUUGCUGCCCUUGACCACUGUGAAGACUGGUGUGGGAAGGGUCGCUUUGGAUGCACUUGAGCAGGGGUCCCCAACCCCUGAGCCAUGGAGCCGCAAGGAGCCACACAGCAGGAGGUGGGACCAUCCAGUUGCAGGAAAACAAGCUUAACACGCCCACUGAUUCUACAUUAUGCUCCUACCUCCCGGCAGCCUCUCCAGGCCCAGAACUUUCUCCAGUCAGCCUCUACAGACCAAGCUCAUGACUCUCAAUGGCCUAUUUAGGCCCAUACCCUACGUCACGGCAGCCUCCGCAGAUGAGGCUACUGCCUCACAACAGCCUCCACAGGCACAGCUCCAUCGUUACAAUGGCCUCUUUAGACCCAGCUCCUGCCUCCCAGCCUUCUCUCCAGGCCCUGAACUUUCUCAAGUCAACCUCACCAGGCCCAGCUCAUGCUUCUUUGCAGCCUCUCCAGGCCCAGCUCCUGCAUCUUGGUGGCCCCUCCAGGCCCAGCCUCUGCCUCCCGUCAGCCUCUACAGUCCGAACGUCUGC